rnacentral:rRNA from 1 species
ACAGGGAUUGCCCCAGUAACGGCGAGUGAAGCGGCAACAGCUCAAAUUUGAAAUCUGGCUCUCAGGGCCCGAGUUGUAAUUUGUAGAGGAUGCUUUUGGCGAGGUGCCUUCCGAGUUCCCUGGAACGGGACGCCACAGAGGGUGAGAGCCCCGUAUGGUCGGACACCGAGCCUCUGUAAAGCUCCUUCGACGAGUCGAGUAGUUUGGGAAUGCUGCUCAAAAUGGGAGGUAUAUGUCUUCUAAAGCUAAAUAUUGGCCAGAGACCGAUAGCGCACAAGUAGAGUGAUCGAAAGAUGAAAAGCACUUUGAAAAGAGGGUUAAAAAGUACGUGAAAUUGUUGAAAGGGAAGCGCUUAUGACCAGACUUGCGCCCGGUGAAUCACCCAGCGUUCUCGCUGGUGCACUUUGCCGGGCACAGGCCAGCAUCAGUUCAGCGCGGGGGAGAAAGGCUUCGGGAAUGUGGCUCCCCCGGGAGUGUUAUAGCCCGCUGCGUAAUGCCCUGCGCCGGACUGAGGUACGCGCAUUGCAAGGAUGCUGGCGUAAUGGUCAUCAGCGACCCGUCUUGAAACACGGACCAAGGAGUCGUCUUCGUAUGCGAGUGUUCGGGUGUCAAACCCCUACGCGUAAUGAAAGUGAACGUAGGUGAGAGCUUCGGCGCAUCACCGACCGAUCCUGAUGUUCUCGGAUGGAUUUGAGUAAGAGCAUACGGGGCCGGACCCGAAAGAAGGUGAACUAUGCCUGUAUAGGGUGAAGCCAGAGGAAACUCUGGUGGAGGCUCGCAGCGGUUCUGACGUGCGAAUCGAUCGUCAAAUAUGGGCAUGGGGGCGAAAGACUAAUCGAACCUUCUAGUAGCUGGUUUCCGC